rnacentral:rRNA from 1 species
UUUCGUCAGCUCGGCUGGACAGGAUACAGGUGCUGCAUGGCUGUCGUCAGCUCGUGUCGUGAGAUGUUCGGUUAAGUCCGGCAACGAGCGCAACCCACGUCCUUAGUUGCCAUCAUUCAGUUGGGCACUCUAGGGAGACCGCCGGUGAUAAGCCGGAGGAAGGUGUGGAUGACGUCAAGUCCUCAUGGCCCUUACGGGUUGGGCUACACACGUGCUACAAUGGUAGUGACAAUGGGUUAAUCCCAAAAAGCUAUCUCAGUUCGGAUUGUUCUCUGCAACUCGAGAGCAUGAAGUUGGAAUCGCUAGUAAUCGCGUAACAGCAUGACGCGGUGAAUACGUUCCCGGGUCUUGUACACACCGA